GGCAGUUAUGGUGAUAUGGUUCCGGAGACAAUAGCUGGCAAAAUUGUUGGCGGCGUCUGUUCAUUGAGUGGUGUCCUUGUGAUCGCCUUACCGGUACCUGUUAUUGUAUCUAAC
rfam:Glossina morsitans morsitans, isolate Yale, WGS project CCAG01000000 data, contig: ctg10017555